rnacentral:rRNA from 1 species
AGAGUUUGAUCCUGGCUCAGAGUGAACGCUGGCGGUAGGCCUAACACAUGCAAGUCGAACGGCAGCACAGAGGAGCUUGCUCCUUGGGUGGCGAGUGGCGGACGGGUGAGGAAUACAUCGGAAUCUACUCUGUCGUGGGGGAUAACGUAGGGAAACUUACGCUAAUACCGCAUACGACCUACGGGUGAAAGCAGGGGAUCUUCGGACCUUGCGCGAUUGAAUGAGCCGAUGUCGGAUUAGCUAGUUGGCGGGGUAAAGGCCCACCAAGGCGACGAUCCGUAGCUGGUCUGAGAGGAUGAUCAGCCACACUGGAACUGAGACACGGUCCAGACUCCUACGGGAGGCAGCAGUGGGGAAUAUUGGACAAUGGGCGCAAGCCUGAUCCAGCCAUACCGCGUGGGUGAAGAAGGCCUUCGGGUUGUAAAGCCCUUUUGUUGGGAAAGAAAUCCAGCUGGCUAAUACCCGGUUGGGAUGACGGUACCCAAAGAAUAAGCACCGGCUAACUUCGUGCCAGCAGCCGCGGUAAUACGAAGGGUGCAAGCGUACUCGGAAUACUGGGCGUAAAGCGUGCGUAUGUGGUCGUUUAAGUCGUGGUGAAAGCACUGUGCUCAACCUGGGAACUGCAGUGGAUACUGGCGACUAGAGUGUAAAGCGAAGCUGUGUAGCAGUGAAGCGUGAUCAGAGGAAUUCAUGCGAGGCAGCUACCUGACCACCUUU